GAGGAAAGAGGGAGGCGUGCUUAACACAUGCAAGUCGAACGGAAAGGCCCUGCUUUUGUGGGGUGCUCGAGUGGCGAACGGGUGAGUAACACGUGAGUAACCUGCCCUUGACUUUGGGAUAACUUCAGGAAACUGGGGCUAAUACCGGAUAGGAGCUCCUGCUGCAUGGUGGGGGUUGGAACGUUUCGGCGGUUGGGGAUGGACUCGCGGCUUAUCAGCUUGUUGGUGGGGUAGUGGCUUACCAAGGCUUUGACGGGUAGCCGGCCUGAGAGGGUGACCGGCCACAUUGGGACUGAGAUACGGCCCAGACUCCUACGGGAGGCAGCAGUGGGGAAUAUUGCACAAUGGGCGGAAGCCUGAUGCAGCAACGCCGCGGGCGGGAUGACGGCCUUCGGGUUGUAAACCGCUUUCGCCUGUGACGAAGCGUGAGUGACGGUAAUGGGUAAAGAAGCACCGGCUAACUACGUG
rnacentral:rRNA from 1 species